UUAUCUGUCCUUGAGCACACACUCACCAUAGUAACCAAAUAAUUCAGACUUUGGGGAUGGUACCAGAAGAUCUCAGAAAUGACUCUCUCUCAAACUAACAAGUGAAAUACAACUCCUGACGGAACAUAUGGUUUAAUAUAAACUUAUAAACCACCCCCUCCAAGCAUCCCUCUGAGGUCUGAAAUGCAUGUGGAAGCUGCUCUUUUCUCCUGAGCUGCUCUUGUUCCCCAUGAUUCAACCACAGAUGCUCUUUCUCAUUUCAUGACUGUGUCUCUCUGCUGCUUCACCAAGGAACUGAAGACAUGGAACAGUCAAUUAAAUAUCACAUUUUCAGUGCCCUUGGGAAAGCCACACAGGAAACAGACUGUGUUUAUAUCUCACACCUCUGGGGAGGCUGCACAAGCUGAAAGCAAUGUAGGAUUUUUUUCCUUUUCUUUAUUCUCAAAGAAGAAUUAAAAACAAAAAUCCAAGCCACACAGCUACCCAAAACAAACAAAAAAAUGUAGUUUUAAAUAUAGAAACACUCCUUCAUGAUUGAAUACGUAUGUGGGAGACUUGUCAUAAAGUCUGUGAAAAAAAUCUGGCCCAAGGCUGUUGCUGGGGGCUGAGCAGCCCUUCAUGCAGAGGGUUAUCAAUGUUCAUACACCAAGUCCACCCUGCAUGGGCCAACCUCUCCUGGGAUCUGACAGGUAGCACUUUGCAAGGGUUUACCUGUUGAUGGCUCAUGCAUGCACAAGCUUAUGAUGAGGAGAGUAUGAAAACUCAGAGGAAGCCAGAGACUCCAAGGCCCAGCUUUAUUGAGGCAAGAACUCUGCCAGACUAUAGACAUGCAAUGUAAUUCCUCAGGCUCCAGUUUAUCCAUUAGUGAAAUGUGCAUAUUAUACUAGAAAAUCUCUAGGGCCCCUUCCAGCCCCACCAUCCUAUGAUUCUAUAAUCCUACUGAGGAUAUUUUUACAGCUAAAAUUUUACAAGGAAAAAAUAUUUUUAAUCAAUUAAUUUAUGUCUAUCCAUCUUUUAUUUUCUAUUUUCAUUUACAUAAACAGAUAUUAAAGUGAAAAUUCAUAAUAAAGCAUGAAAAAUAAUGAACACUUUACCAAUAGCUUCAGAGCCCCUCUGAUUACCAGCCCUAUUAUCUUCCCUUCUGCUCUUCCCAGAAAUAACUACUGCUAUUAUUCUGCAUCCAUUAUUACAUAUUUUUUUCACACACAUUUAUAUACAGAGAAAAUAAGCUCUAAUAUAAAUUGUAUGAUACCAUUUGUUUUGUUCUUUUUUAAUAGCUAUGUAUUUUUCCACA